rnacentral:rRNA from 1 species
GUGAGGAAUAUUGGUCAAUGGGCGGGAGCCUGAACCAGCCAAGUCGCGUGAAGGAAGAAGGAUCUAUGGUUCGUAAACUUCUUUUGCAGGGGAAUAAAGUGCAGGACGUGUCCUGUUUUGUAUGUACCCUGAGAAUACGGAUCGGCUAACUCCGUGCCAGCAGCCGCGGUAAUACGGAGGAUCCGAGCGUUAUCCGGAUUUAUUGGGUUUAAAGGGUGCGUAGGUGGUUUGAUAAGUCAGCGGUGAAAGUUUGCAGCUUAACUGUAAAAAUGCCGUUGAAACUGUCGGACUUGAGUGUAAAUGAGGUAGGCGGAAUGCGUGGUGUAGCGGUGAAAUGCAUAGAUAUCACGCAGAACUCCGAUUGCGAAGGCAGCUUACUAAGCUACAACUGACACUGAAGCACGAAAGCGUGGGGAUCAAACAGGAUUAGAAACCCCGGUAGUCC